rnacentral:rRNA from 12 species
CGUCAGCUCGUGUCGUGAGAUGUUCGGUUAAGUCCGGCAACGAGCGCAACCCACAUCCUUAGUUGCCAGCAGUUCGGCUGGGCACUCUAGGGAAACUGCCCGUGAUAAGCGGGAGGAAGGUGUGGAUGACGUCAAGUCCUCAUGGCCCUUACGGGUUGGGCUACACACGUGCUACAAUGGCGUAUACAGAGGGCUGCAAAC